rnacentral:rRNA from 1 species
CCUACGGGUUGCAGCAGUGGGGAAUAUUGGGCAAUGGGCGCAAGCCUGACCCAGCAACGCCGCGUGAAGGAAGAAGGCUUUCGGGUUGUAAACUUCUUUUCUCAGGGACGAAGCAAGUGACUGUACCUGUGGAAUAAGCCACCGCUAACCACGUGACAGCAGCCGCGGUAAUCCGUAGGGGGCAAGCGUUACACGGAUUUACUGGGUGUAAAGGGCGGGUAGGCGGGACUGCAAGUCAGAGGUGAAAACUACGGGCUCAACCUGUGGCCUGCAUUGGAAACUGUAGUUAUUGAGUACUGGGGAGGCAGGCGGAAUUCCUGGUGUAGCGGUGAAAUGCGUAGAUAUUAGGAGGAACACCGGUGGCGAAGGCGGUCUGCUGGACAGCAACUGACGCUGAGGCGCGAAAGCGUGGGGAGCAAACAGGAUUAGAUACCCGUGUAGUC